rnacentral:rRNA from 1 species
CCUACGGGUGGCUGCAGUGGGGAAUAUUCGACAAUGGGGGGAACCCUGAUCCAGCCAUGCCGCGUGUGUGAAGAAGGCCCUCGGGUUGUAAAGCACUUUCAGUGAGGAAGAACGCCUGGUGGUUAAUACCCAUCAGGAAAGACAGCACUCACAGAAGAAGCACCGGCUAACUCCGUGCCAGCAGCCGCGGUAAUACGGAGGGUGCGAGCGUUAAUCGGAAUUACUGGGCGUAAAGCGCGCGUAGGUGGCUUGAUAAGCCGGUUGUGAAAGCCCCGGGCUCAACCUGGGAACGGCAUCCGGAACUGUCAAGCUAGAGUGCAGGAGAGGAAGGUAGAAUUCCCGGUGUAGCGGUGAAAUGCGUAGAGAUAGGGAGGAACACCAGUGGCGAAGGCGGCCUUCUGGACUGACACUGACACUGAGGUGCGAAAGCGUGGGUAGCAAACAGGAUUAGAUACCCUUGUAGUC